GCGGGCGUGGUGAAAUUGGUAAACACAAGGGACUUAAAAUCCCUCGGACUAGCGUCCUUGCCGGUUCAAGUCCGGCCGCCCGCACCA
rnacentral:tRNA from 1 species